rnacentral:rRNA from 1 species
GGAGUUAGCCGGUGCUUCUUCUGCGAGUAACGUCACAGAUGUAAGGUAUUAACUUACACCCUUUCCUCCUCGCUGAAAGUGCUUUACAACCCGAAGGCCUUCUUCACACACGCGGCAUGGCUGCAUCAGGGUUUCCCCCAUUGUGCAAUAUUCCCCACUGCUGCCUCCCGUAGGAGUCUGGGCCGUGUCUCAGUCCCAGUGUGGCUGAUCAUCCUCUCAGACCAGCUAGGGAUCGUCGCCUAGGUGAGCCUUUACCUCACCUACUAGCUAAUCCCACCUGGGCUUAUCCAUCAGCGCAAGGCCCGAAGGUCCCCUGCUUUCCCCCGUAGGGCCGUAUGCGGUAUUAGCAGUCGUUUCCAACUGUUAUCCCCCACAAAUGGGCAAAUUCCCAGGCAUUACUCACCCGUCCGCCGCUCGUCAUCUUCAAAGCAAGCUUUUGAAAUGUUACCGCUCGACUUGCAUGUGUUAGGCCUGCCGCCAGCGUUCAAUCUGAGCCAUGAUCAAACUCUGA